UUUUGAGGAAAAAGGAUUGUCCAGUGACGAAGCGACCACCAAUUAUUUGUUUUCGAAAUUUCAUCAGUGGCGAUGAUGUUUGUGUGGUUAAUUAAAUUAGCCACACUUUGCCCAAGAAACCCAAAAGAGUUUAAAAAAGAUAAGUUUUCUCCACAACGCAAAUAAUUGCGAAUAUACCAGCAAGAUAAUGAAAUUAACAUAAUAAUAACCUUUCUAACAACAUAAAAAUGUUGAAAGAAAAUUAUUUUGGGGAAAAAAUCGUGCAUAGAAAAUUCGGUUUAAUAUGAAGUCUUUGGAAUUUUCGCAAUGGUCACUUUCUUAGGACAUUGUCGAUGUGAGAACUUGGUAAUUGCUGCCUUUUGGCCCAAAAGAUUGUCGGAUGAAAGCUAACAAUAUGAUCAAGCUAGAACAACAAAAUCCACAUAAUAUCAUGUAGAAACUGAACAUAUUGUAUACGCCUUUUCGCCAUACAAUUUGAAUAAGUUUGAAUUUAUGAAUCUAAAAGCGAUUGGAAGUUUUGCGUAUAACGGAAUCAGCUGAACUACACGACGAAAUUUGCACAGAAUUAACGUAACGAAAAUGGAAUCAAAGUUAGUGUGAAUUAACAAAAAACGCAAGUAUUGACAUUUGUUUUAAGUUUAAUGUUUAAAGGAAACAUCAAAUUGUUUUUAAAGAAAGUGCUUAUUCAUAAAUUCAUACCA